CACAAUUUAAAUUUUCCACAACGCGUUUCGCCUUUCAGGGCUUCUUCUGGAAUCUUUAUUCCAUUUUGAAGACGCCCUGAAAGGCGAAACGCAUUGUGGAUAAUUUG